rnacentral:rRNA from 1 species
AGCAGCCGCGGUAAUUCCAGCUCCAAUAGCGUAUAUUAAAGUUGUUGCAGUUAAAAAGCUCGUAGUUGAAUUUCGGAAUCUGUCCGUUGGUCGGGCUUCAUUGUCCGUACUGGUGUGAUGGGUUCUUACCUUCUGAAUAACCAGCAUGUCAUUAAUUUGGUGUGUUGGGGAAGCAGGACUAUUACCUUGAAAAAAUUAGAGUGCUCAAAGCAGGCUAGUGCCUGAAUACAUUAGCAUGGAAUAAUAAAAUAGGACGGCAUGGUUCUAUUUUGUUGGUUUCUAGGAUCACCGUAAUGAUUAAUAGGGAUAGUUGGGGGCAUUAGUAUUCAAUUGUCAGAGGUGAAAUUCUUGGAUUUAUUGAAGACUAACUUCUGCGAAAGCAUUUGCCAAGGAUGUUUUCAUUAAUCAAGAACGAAAGUUAGGGGAUCGAAGACGAUCAGAUACCGUCGUAGUCUUAACCAUAAACUAUAGCCGACUAGGGAUCGGACGAUGUUAAAUUUUAUAAUGACUCGUUCGGCG